UUGAUACUUUUGGGUUAGUUUUGUUGCUUGAUUUGUUUUUAUAAACUUUUUGAUGGUUAAUGUAUCUUUAUUGUCUGAAAUGAAGAGGGGGAAGGGGGGGUUUAUAAUUUAGCCUAGUGCCUUUUGUGAUGGUUUGCAAAAAGUGUUGCUUUUCAGUUUUCAUAUAUCCUGAUCCUGGCAAGGGAAAAGGAAAGCAUGUUAUUGCUGGAAAUCUGCUAUUACAAAAGGUGUCUAUCCUGUGAUUUCUGUUGUACUUGAUGUUUACUUGGAUGAUACUGCUCUAGUAUUGGUUAGCUUCUCAGUAAAUCCACCAUAUGCGG
rnacentral:misc_RNA from 1 species